rnacentral:rRNA from 1 species
GACGAACCGAGCGAACGUUGUUCGGAAUCACUGGGCUUAAAGGGCGCGUAGGCGGGCGAUCAAGUCGGUGGUGAAAUCCUGCAGCUUAACUGCAGAACUGCCUCCGAUACUGGUUGUCUCGAGGAAGGUAGGGGCGUACGGAACAGUUGGUGGAGCGGUGAAAUGCGUUGAUAUCAACUGGAACUCCGGUGGCGAAGGCGGCACGCUGGACCCUCUCUGACGCUGAGGCGCGAAAGCCAGGGGAGCGAACGGG